CAGUACAGCCAGUACAGGCAGCCUGUAGACGAGUUGUUGUAGGCAGCGAGGUGGUGUUAGUUCGGCCGUCUGCUGCUUCGUGUCGAAGUUUGUUUGGGUGCAGGCUGUGUAAGAAUCUGUGUGUUAGCCAAAGGGUUUCAUCGAAGUAACAGUUUCCUAGUGGCUCGGAGGCUCCAUUCGACUGCUCCAUACCAUCACGACGUCGAGAACCGGUACAGCCUAUCCGCCCACGCCGUUCAAAGUCGUGUCCAGGAUUCAAGCAAACCGUGACUCCUGGCUGCAGGAGCGCUGGACGCCACUGGACGUUCAUCGUCCCCGUUUGUCAUGGUGUUCCAGUGAUUCUGGAUGGUGACCGACGUCCGUGACUUUUUUUGUUGUCGCAGUCAUGGCUGCAGCAGAGAACCACGCGGUCAACUCAUGGCCAUGGUCAAGCCAGAUGUUCCGCAAGUGGAUCCCACGCCUCCAAGCAGCGCUCAGCUGCGAUGCAAUUCGUGUGGAAUGCUGUGCCAAGCGGUUGAUCUCCGAUGCGCAGAAGAAGGAAUUGAUGGCGAUAAAAGAUUCGGCCAAACAC